rnacentral:ncRNA from 1 species
CCCGUUGAGUCAGAGGUGGCUUUCAAGAAAUAAUUAGAAGAAAAGUACUGCCCAGUUAGUUAUGUAAGGAUCUUCGAUUUUUUUAGCUCUUACUUCUACUUCAACAAUCUUCUUUCUUGCGAAUUCAACAUCAUCCGCCUGAGAUCACGCACAAACACUCGCCCCAUACAGAGAUCAAAUCCGACCGAUUAGAUCCUGGUUAGUGACCAAGUGAGAACUCUGUUCUGUGAUAGAUUACUUCCACAAUUGCGACGUGCGACCUGAUCUGAAGACAUCGUCCGAUGGCGAGUUUGACUGUUGUAGUAAAUCUGUCAAAUCGUAACUCAGGUGUCUCAAGGUGAGCUCAGCCAAGACAGACGUCUGGCGAAGAGAAAAAGGGCAAAAGUGCACUUGAUUUUGAUUUUCAGUACGAAUACAGACCGUGAAGGCGUGGCCUAUCAACACUUUUGACGAUCGAAUGUUCAGAGUUUGAAGAAAGAGGUGUCAGAAAAGUUACCGCAAGGGUAACUCGCUUGUGGCGGCGAAGCGUUCAUAGCGACUUCGCCUUGUGAUCCUUCGAUGUCGGCUCUUCCUAUCAUUGUGAAGCAGAAUUCACCAAGCGUUGGAUUGUUCAUACACUAUUAGGAAACACCGUGAGACAGGUUAGUU